UGGGGAAUAUUGGACAAUGGGCGCAAGCCUGAUCCAGCCAUGCCGCGUGAGUGACGAAGGUCUUCGGAUUGUAAAGCUCUUUUGGCGGGGAAGAUAAUGACGGUACCCGCAGAAUAAGCUCCGGCUAACUUCGUGCCAGCAGCCGCGGUAAUACGAAGGGAGCUAGCGUUGUUCGGAAUCACUGGGCGUAAAGCGCACGUAGGUGGGCAGUUAAGUCAGGGGUGAAAGCCCGAGGCUCAACCUCGGAAUUGCCUCUGAUACUGGCUGUCUAGAGUUCGAGAGAGGUGAGUGGAAUUCCUAGUGUAGAGGUGAAAUUCGUAGAUAUUAGGAAGAACACCGGUGGCGAAGGCGGCUCACUGGCUCGAUACUGACACUGAGGUGCGAAAGCGUGGGGAGCAAACAGGAUUAGAUACCCCAGUAGUCCCUGAGCGGGCUGGCAAGGCGCAU
rnacentral:rRNA from 1 species